CAGGGAUGAGCUAACUGGCACCUUCCGCGACGACACAUUAACUGAAGGCCUUCCAUUAGCCACCGGGAACCAAGUGCUUCUUGUGCCUUCCAAACACUACAAGGAUGAGGCGGACGGCUGCAUUCCGGACUUGCCUGACACAGCAGCGCCAUAUCACUUCCGUCGCCAGGCGAUCUGGGAGCCGGGGGCGUUCGACCUUUUCCGGGCAGAGCCGAUCUUCGCCAUCGCCGUCAUCUGGCUGCUGGUGUUCGCGAUCGCUCACAGAGGAUUCCUCAAGCUCAAGACGUUCUUCUAUGCCAUCAUUCUCCUGCACGUUGUGACUACGCUGAUGCUCC
rnacentral:lncRNA from 1 species